ACCUAAUAGAUUUGGCGGUACCCGCUACUUAUCAGAGAAAUUUGCUGUAAGAAAUCGAUAAUCCCCGAAGUAUCUUACUUUUGCUUGAAUAUCAGUUUGUAUACCGUCAUAGAUGUUAUUUUUAAAAAAUGAGAAUUAUUUGGUUAAUUUUGUUUAAUUAGAAAUUAGAUCAAGGUGCAGCUAAUGUAGAAGGUUAGAGUGAAUUGCAGUGUAGUCUUACAGAUGUCUGGAAAAAAUAUUGUAAUAUGUUUUUGAAAGUGGAUUUGAUAGUAAUAAUAUUUUAACAAGUUAUUUUGAUUUUAGUUCUGGGGUAUGU
rnacentral:rRNA from 1 species